rnacentral:rRNA from 1 species
CUCCGGUUGAUCCUGCCGGACCUGACUGCUAUCGGAUUGGUACUGAGCCAUGCGAGUCGUUGUAGCAAUACAAGGCGGACGGCUCAGUAACACGUAGUCAACCUAACCUAUGGACGUGGAUAACCUCGGGAAACUGAGAAUAAACCGCGAUAGAUCAUUAUGCCUGGAAUGGCUUAUGGUUCAAACAAUUUAUUGCCGUAGGAUGGGACUGCGGCCUAUCAGCUUGUUGGUGAGGUAAUGGCCCACCAAGGCUAUAACAGGUACGGGCUCUGAGAGGAGAAGCCCGGAGAUGGGUACUGAGACACGGACCCAGGCCCUAUGGGGCGCAGCAGGCGAGAAACCUUAGCAAUGUGCGAAAGCACGACUAGGUUAAUCCGAGUGAUUUCUGUUGAAGAAAUCUUUUGUCAGUCGUAAAACCACAGACGAAUAAGGGGUGGGCAAGUCUGGUGUCAGCCGCCGCGGUAAUACCAGCACCUCGAGUGGUCAGGAGGUUUAUUGGGCCUAAAGCAUCCGUAGCCGGCUACGCAAGUCUCCGGUUAAAUCCAGCUGCUCAACAGAUGGGCUGCCGGAGAUACUACAUAGCUAGGGAGCGGGAGAGGUAGACGGUAUUCUGUGGGUAGGGGUAAAAUCCACUGAUCCAUAGAGGACCACCAGUGGCGAAGGCGGUCUACCAGAACGCGUUCGACGGUGAGGGAUGAAAGCUGGGGGAGCAAACCGGAUUAGAUACCCGGGUAGUCCCAGCUGUAAACGAUGCAAACUCGGUGAUGCAUUGGCUUAUGGCCAAUGCAGUGCCGCAGGGAAGCCGUUAAGUUUGCCGCCUGGGAAGUACGGACGCAAGUCUGAAACUUAAAGGGAAUGGCGGGGGAGCA